rnacentral:lncRNA from 1 species
UGCUAGAAUUACAGGUGUGGGCCACUGCGCCUGGCCCAUACAUGCAUUUUAACAGCUACAUUCAUGGAUGCAUUUAGCAAGCAACCUGGCUUCACAUGCAAGGCACAGUGCUAGGAAUUAGGUCUACAGGGAUGAGCAAGAUGUGGACCCCGCCUCUGCUGUCUCCAGGCCACUAGGGACGAUGGUCGGGGAAUAGACCACUGAGAUUGAAGUGAUGAAAGUCUCAAGGAAAGAACAGGGAGGCAGAGGUUGCAGUGAGCCAAGAUUGCGCCACUGCACUCCAGCCUGGGCGACAGAGCGAGACUCUGUCUCAAAACAAAACAAACAAACAAAAAAAGAACUCUGGCAUUCCACUGAACACGUUCUCCUUCAAAACUGGGUCCAAUCAUUCUGCUGACACCAAGAGAGUGCCUAAAGGGACAGCCCAACUCAGGCCUUAGAUUUAUCUUGAGAGAAAAGUCCUAGAAGCAUUUUGAUUCUCAUAGAUGAAAGGACACCAGCACGGAGGACAUGAUUGGUCUUCUCGCCUCUCAAGCUGCGGUGGUGCUGUCCGAUUUGUGCAUAGCCAGAGGAAGAUUUCCUGAGAAGCCAGUCAAGCAUGAGCUCCAGGGUCCUUGCCUGUGUGCCCCUCUUCCAAGGUCCUGUACCGAUUUUUUAAAAAUUCAUAAUUGUAUAAUACUUUUCUUAAAUGGUGUGGGGCACAAAACAUAGACCUGCAUCGUAAGACCUGGCUCUACCCCUGGAAUAUGUUUCUGAUCUGAAGAUGACAACCUGGAGCAGUAAGCCCUUCAGUCCUUGGCAACAAUUAAUCAUGUUUUGAUUGAACAUGGCUCCUAAUUGUAAGGAGGCUUCAAUGUUAAGAAGUGGUUUGUCUUCACUGUACUGUAGAUUCUGACUUCAAUACACAUGUGACCUCAAAAAGUAAAUUAAUGCCGCCAGAUCCAAUUCUUCACAUCCUUUCUGUCAGUAGCGCAGGUUCAAGAAGGCAGCUGGACACACUGCCUGGCACAAAGUGGGUGCCUGCCUCCAGCUCCUGCCUGAGGUUUAUCUACAAAUGACACAGAAAGGACACCAGGCCCAUUCAGAUGGCAACCCAGGAAGACACCAGUCCUUCUGUCCUCACAUUAACAGAAGGAGGCCUCUGCUCGAGAGCCUUCAUGGGGGCUGAGGAACCUUUGGGAGCCUGAGCUGAUGGAGACUGGGCCUAAGCCUUUGGCCUACAGAGUCUGAGACCCUGGUGAUGUGGGCGCCCCAGGCAAUGAAUGCUGCCUUCAUAUCACCAGUAGUGUUUAUGUUAGAAUGUGCCCCUUCAGUGACUGUGGCAGUCUGCAAUGUAUUAAUCCACUCAAUGGCUAGGGCCUUUAACGAGUAUUAUAUACUUCCAAGAAGGUGCUAGCAGAGAGCCUCACCAUGCAUUUUACAGCAAAGAAGUGAGCAAUGUCAUUAAGACACCCUCCAACUUGCAGUUUUUAGACAGAAGGCCAAUUCUGUAUGUAUAAGAACACUGUAUGUAUUAAACGUGGUAAUGAUC